UAAGACAUGCAAGUCGAACGAGAGAAUUGCUAGCUUGCUAAUAAUUCUCUAGUGGCGCACGGGUGAGUAACACGUGAGUAACCUGCCCCCGAGAGCGGGAUAGCCCUGGGAAACUGGGAUUAAUACCGCAUAGUAUCGAAAGAUUAAAGCAGCAAUGCGCUUGGGGAUGGGCUCGCGGCCUAUUAGUUAGUUGGUGAGGUAACGGCUCACCAAGGCGAUGACGGGUAGCCGGUCUGAGAGGAUGUCCGGCCACACUGGAACUGAGACACGGUCCAGACACCUACGGGUGGCAGCAGUCGAGAAUCAUUCACAAUGGGGGAAACCCUGAUGGUGCGACGCCGCGUGGGGGAAUGAAGGUCUUCGGAUUGUAAACCCCUGUCAUGUGGGAGCAAAUUAAAAAGAUAGUACCACAAGAGGAAGAGACGGCUAACUCUGUGCCAGCAGCCGCGGUAAUACAGAGGUCUCAAGCGUUGUUCGGAAUCACUGGGCGUAAAGCGUGCGUAGGCUGUUUCGUAAGUCGUGUGUGAAAGGCGCGGGCUCAACCCGCGGACGGCACAUGAUACUGCGAGACUAGAGUAAUGGAGGGGGAACCGGAAUUCUCGGUGUAGCAGUGAAAUGCGUAGAUAUCGAGAGGAACACUCGUGGCGAAGGCGGGUUCCUGGACAUUAACUGACGCUGAGGCACGAAGGCCAGGGGAGCGAAAGGGAUUAGAUACCCCUGUAGUCCUGGCAGUAAACGGUGCACGCUUGGUGUGCGGGGAAUCGACCCCCUGCGUGCCGGAGCUAACGCGUUAAGCGUGCCGCCUGGGGAGUACGGUCGCAAGAUUAAAACUCAAAGAAAUUGACGGGGACCCGCACAAGCGGUGGAGUAUGUGGCUUAAUUCGAUGCAACGCGAAGAACCUUACCUGGGCUUGACAUGUAAUGAACAACAUGUGAAAGCAUGCGACUCUUCGGAGGCGUUACACAGGUGCUGCAUGGCCGUCGUCAGCUCGUGUCGUGAGAUGUUUGGUUAAGUCCAGCAACGAGCGCAACCCCUGUUGCCAGUUACCAGCACGUGAAGGUGGGGACUCUGGCGAGACUACCCAGAUCAACUGGGAGGAAGGUGGGGACGACGUCAGGUCAGUAUGGCCCUUAUGCCCAGGGCUGCACACGUACUACAAUGCCCAGUACAGAGGGGGCCGAAGCCGCGAGGCGGAGGAAAUCCUGAAAACUGGGCCCAGUUCGGACUGUAGGCUGCAACCCGCCUACACGAAGCCGGAAUCGCUAGUAAUGGCGCAUCAGCUACGGCGCCGUGAAUACGUUCCCGGGUCUUGCACUCACCGCCCGUCA
rnacentral:rRNA from 1 species